rnacentral:rRNA from 1 species
UACGGAGGGUCCAAGCGUUAUCCGGAAUCAUUGGGUUUAAAGGAUCCGUAGGCGGUUUUGUAAGUCAGUGGUGAAAGCCCAUCGCUCAACGGUGGAACGGCCAUUGAUACUGCAAGACUUGAAUUAUUAGGAAGUAACUAGAAUAUGUAGUGUAGCGGUGAAAUGCUUAGAGAUUACAUGGAAUACCAAUUGCGAAGGCAGGUUACUACUAAUGGAUUGACGCUGAUGGACGAAAGCAUGGGGAGCGAACAGG